AGGGUUAUGCAUAACAUGAAUUGGCAGCAUUUCAAAGCAAUUACAGACCAAAAUCCUUUCAAAUUUUUGCUUCAAUGGAAACAGGAGCAUAGAAAAAAAAAUCAUCAGCAAUAAAACUGAGUAAAAACCCAUCAAGUCGACAUGAUCAUAGCUGAAGAUACAGUGGAAGCAAAACUAUUUUGCACUUUUAACAAACUAGGAUGAAAAUAAUCCUUCCAUAUGAGAAGAAUAACGAGAGGAACAGCAUCCAGGGAAUAUCAAUUCGGACAUACAUAUCCAAUGAGAGACUACCGCCUGAUGCAACGAUUUUUUCUCCUAUAUGGCUCUCCUCUCACUCAAGAGGUUAGCACGCCACCGCAGCUCAAGAAGUCCUGGCACUAUAUUCAUUUUCCAAGAGCCACAAGUAACAGCAAUCCAAAAACGUUGGCCAAAACUCCAAGUGCUAUCAGCAGUUUGGCAGCAGUGUUGUCUUGUCCUACAAUAUAAGCAAGCAAGCAAAAAAUGAAUCCCCCCAAACCGAGUAGCUUGGUGCCAAACAAGAGUGUUUUGUCAUUGGGCGAUAAAGAGUUGCCUCCACUCAGAACGAUUUGUGGUGGAGCAAGGACUAAUGUUGCGCUGAUAGUGAGGAAUAUCUUGGCCAAACCAGCGACAUUGAAAUUGAACCAUCCACCGAAAUUGAAAUUGAACCACCCUCUUGGAGGUGGGGGUGGGGGUGGGGGUGGUGCUGGUGUUGGUGUUCGAGGUUGAACUUGAGGUGUUGGUGUUGGUGGUUGAACUUGAGGUGUUGGUGUUGGUGGUUGAACUUGAGGUGUUGGUGUUGGUGUUGGUGGUUGAACUUGAGGUGUUGCUCUCGGUGUUUGUGGUGGUGGUGGUGUUGGCGGUGUUUGUGGUGUUGUUUUUGGUGGUGGUGAAGUCAUCUGAACUGAACUAUUAACAGUAGUGUCAGAGCUCCCCCAAUCAUCUUGGAUUGUAAGCUCCUCACCACUGCCGUCUCCGCCCUGUGCCCAGUUUCUAAAAGCAGUUGAUCCAACAUUAUGACCGUGUUUACCCGGAUGUGUUAUUCUUGACUUCUUAUAUGCCUUCAGUUCAGUCCCUCCGUUACCAA
rnacentral:lncRNA from 1 species